UACGAAGGGGGCUAGCGUUGCUCGGAAUCACUGGGCGUAAAGCGCACGUAGGUGGAUUCUUAAGUCAGGGGUGAAAUCCUGGAGCUCAACUCCAGAACUGCCUUUGAUACUGGGAAUCUUCGAGUCCGGGAGAGGUGGGUGGAACUGCGAGUGUAGAGGUGAAAUUCGUAGAUAUUCGCAAGAACACCAGUGGCGAAGGCGGCUCACUGGCCCGGUACUGACACUGAGGUGCGAAAGCGUGGGGAGCAAACAGGAUUAGAAACCCCCGUAGUCC
rnacentral:rRNA from 1 species